CAGCCUCCUACCUAGCCCCUUUCAAAACCCCCAUCUCCUUCCCAUUUUCUUCCAAAACCUCAAACUCAUCCCUGUCAAAACCCCCAUCAUCAUCCGCACCUAGCCCCUUUGAAAACCCUAAACCCCUAUAGAUCGAAUCCCAUCGAUUUUGCAUAUGAAACCUUCCGAUCUGGCAAUGCUCCCCUCCGACACCGUCGAUCUUCGUCAUCUUCUUUGUUUACCAAUCGAUCUACAAAGAUUUUAGCAGAUGCAAUGGGGCUUGAAAAGACUGUAAUGACUAUUGCAUUAAUACUUGGAAAACUAGUUAGGGAGAGUUCAGAUGACCAACAAGUUGAAGAACAAAAUCAGGAUUUUGACAACAAGAAAACAAAGAAUGGUCAGAAAGAUCCUCAAACACAAAAGCCUACCCACAGUUAAAGGAGGAAAUCUUGUUGUCUGUCCAAUGGCAUUGUUAGGCCAGUAGAAGGUAAGAUUUCGUUUCAUUUCAUAACAUGUUUACUACUAAUCCUGUAGUUAAAGUUGGCAUUCUUUUAAUGAUGCAAUUGAAUGAAAAAUUAAAAUAGCACAUUGUUGUCUGUCCAAUGGCAUUGUUAGGCCAGUGGAAGGUGAGAUUUCAUUUUUUCCAA